AAGCUUGAAGAAAGAAAAAAAAAAAAAAGAAAAGAAAGAAAGACAGAGAAGGGAGAAAGGGUUAUCGAGGGAGAAGAGAGGAAGAGAGGGUUGUGUCGGGGAAGAAAAGGAGAGGAAGAGAGGUCUGAGGGAGAAGUGAGUUGCGUCGCAGGGGAGAAGAGGGAGACCGAGCCGUCGCGCGACCACCGAAUCAUCGCGCCGCCACGCCGCCGCCACCGUCGGGCUGCUGUGCUGCCAUCGAUACGGUUCAGAGAGGAAGGAAGCGCUACGGUGAGGAAGGGAGCAGGAGCCCAUCGCGCUCGCUGCAAGCCCGUCGUCCGUGUCUUGUCGCCGCGCUGGAGUCGUCGCCGCCAAUGCUGAGCACCGCCGCUGCCGCCUUUGAGGGGAGCCGCCACCAUAGCUGGGAAGAACGGAGUAGGGGAGAGGAGGUUUUGUUGAUGUUGUGGCAGAGAAGGAGGACGAGACGUGUGAGAGAGAGUGACGCACAGAGGAGAGACCAUUCCUCUGCCGCCACCGAUCGCUGCCAUCAUUAAUGGUGAGUCAGUUAAGCCCUAGCUAUGAGAACCACCAUCUCUGAACCCUUAUUGCUCUGUAAAAUACCCUUAUUGUUUGUUGGGGUUUGUCUCAAUUGGAGUCACUGGUGAAGGCGUUGCCGCUGCUGGAAGCCAACGUCGAGGCUGUUGCUGGUUCUGAUUCUAUUAUCCUGGGCUGUUACACUGGUUAAAGAAUAUACACAAAAUUAUGAUACUUACAUUGGAAGGAUUUGAUAACAAAGAAGAAUCAAUGCUAUAUUGAUGCAAGAUCCAUCCACCAUCAUGGCUAGUACCACUCUUCUCAAAGCGAUAUCGUUUCCUCAUUCCAAUGCGCUGGUUAGUUUUAUUGGCCAUAAUCUCUUUUCCGAUGUCUUCACCUUCCCAACAACCCAACCCGAUGGUGCGAACCAUCCUCAAGCUGUUAGUCGAGAACUUCCUCUUCAGACUAGUGAAGAAAUAGAGGUCCUUCCCGUCAUAAGAAUUUUCAACGUUUUCUUCCCAAAUUUCCCAUGGAUUCUUCUCCGUACCAAACAAUUCACCUUCAAGAAUGGUUCCAUAGUUUGGUAGAGGCCUCCCAUUGAUUUUGUUACGGAGAAAAUCUUGAAUGAGUUCUUCAUCUGUAGAUAAUUUUCGUUGAUAAUGGGUUUCAAUUCAGUGUAUAGGAGCUUGCUUGCAAGAUAUAUUCCCCCAGGAUUCCAAAAUGAACACUCUGGCCCAUCAUUUUAAAGAAUUUUUGUUCAUACCAGAACACUUAAGGCGGUGGCUAUUGAAAAUCCAAAUGAUGCUGAUCAAGCUGCUGAAAUUGUUCUCAGUGAAUUGCACAGAGACUUAAUAUUGCCACUACCAUGGAAGAGUUGGAAAUUCAAGAAUAAAUCAAAGACUCGACAAAAAUUCAAGACUGAAAUAGAGACUUGCAGCUGCAUUUUUAUUGUUAACAAGAAGAGAAGAUAUGAGAGAGCGCGCUGCAUGUUUUGAAAGGGGGAGUAGUUGGCACCAUAUGAGGGAAAGACUUCCUCUUUCGAUGUCGCAGAGAAGAGAAGAAGAAAACAACAAUGGUGAAGAAACAAAGAACGAUGGAAGAAGGAGAAGAGGGUGGCGACGACAGGGACGGUCACAGAGAAGGAUGCCAGAUCGAUAGAGAAAAGAAGAGAAAUGAGGCGACGGUGGUGAUGGAUGCCACCGCCGCUGUUGGAUCCGUAGAACUGUGUCCAUUUACCUAUCAAUCGGCAUUAUGCAGAGUUAUCCAUUUGAGUUGUGGAGUAUACACAAAUCAAUUUGUGGUUCAAAAUACCUAGACAUAUCACCAGUGAAAAAGUAGGAGGAAUUCACUGGUGAUGGAAGCAGUAACUGACAGAGAAGAUAGAGAAUGUGUAUUUUCGACCUGUAGAAAGUCCUAGUCCUAACCUUGCACACUUUGCCCUUCUUCAGAGAUGGUGUCAAGCUUUGGAGGGAAUAAAUUGAAAAAGCUAAAUCAGCUCUGGCUAAGGAUGAGGCUGAGCUUUCAAAAUUGAAAAAAGGAGAAAGCACACUUAAAGAUAUUGUGCAACAGCGAAGCGUUAUCCUUUUUCUUUCAUGCUGCUCAUGACUGACUCUGAACUUGAAUGUAAUGAAAAACAGCUGCCAGAUGCACCAGACAGGACACCGGCUGCCAAUAUUAAAGGUGGCUGAAGCAUUGCAUUUUUAGGCACUGUCUAAGUCUCUAAGACAUUAACUGUAGACGAACUGCUUUAUUUAAAGGAGGAGUUUACACUUUUGGAGCCAAACAAAAAUGGAACCAUUAGCGUAGAAAACAUCAAAGCGGCCUCGAUGAAAAACGCAACUAAUGCUAUGGAGUCGCACACUAUUGACUUUUUUGGAUCAAUUCCAUGAUGCAAAUUCCAUGUCACUUGAGUUUAGUGUUCUUAAGGAUCUCAUUGAGAUUUUAGAGAGCAAAAGUAGCCUCAUUGAAGAGGCAGGGAGCUUGCAAUGUCUCCAAUCAAAUUGGUAGGUAUUGAUACUGCUUGCUAUAUUAGCCAGUAGUAUCUAAGACUUAUUUUUUCAUUUGAGAUAUAGCAUCAUAUGGUUAUGUUACCUUAGCCUCCUAAUAAUUGUGGUUAACGGGUUGUAGUUGUGUCCUACUUAUUGAUGGAGGGAAAGAACUUUUAAGAUUUUCAAUUAAAAGAUAAAAGAACUUUUAGGAUGCCAUCUAAUUAAUAUGUUCGUCUGAUCGUAUACCAGCAAGUACAACUAAAUUUUGUUCCUUUACUAAAAAAAGUAUUAAUUGGAAUAUAAAAAAUGCUUAGAAUUCUCUGUAACUCCAUAGCAUCAAUAAAAAAAAUACUGAAUGAGAAAUUUCAACAAUCUAUGUCCCACUAUCAAAAUACUGAAUGAGCAUUUUUUACAAUUUAUGUCCCAUUUAUCAAUUUUAACCUUUUUUUUCUUUAAAAUAUAUAAUUGUGCUAGAAGAAUUGAUAUAUGAAAAGAAGAAGACUCUUUCCUAAUAAAGUAAUUUCAGAAUUAAAGCUUUUAAGUUAUAACAAAAUUAAAAAAAAAGAAAUGAAAGAAUUUUGUUUUACUAAUUGAUUGAAUCUAAGAAUAUUUUUCUAUUUAGCAUCUGUAUGUUUCAUUUUUGUUGAAAGAAGAAGAAUUUAUUAUUCUCAAGUCAAAUCAUUUUUUUUAUCUACACUCUUCAAUAAAAAUUCUUUUAUUAGUACUUAAUUACUAUUUUAUGAUUUUAACAU